rnacentral:rRNA from 1 species
UGACUGCGUACCUUUUGUAUAAUGGGUCAGCGACUUAUAUUCUGUAGCAAGGUUAACCGUAUAGGGGAGCCGGAGGGAAACCGAGUCUUAACCGGGCGUUAAGUUGCAGGGUAUAGACCCGAAACCCGGUGAUCUAGCCAUGGGCAGGUUGAAGGUUGGGUAACACUAACUGGAGGACCGAACCGACUAAUGUUGAAAAAUUAGCGGAUGACCUGUGGCUGGGGGUGAAAGGCCAAUCAAACCGGGAGAUAGCUGGUUCUCCCCGAAAGCUAUUUAGGUAGCGCCUCGUGAAUUCAUCUCCGGGGGUAGAGCACUGUUUCGGCUAGGGGGCCAUCCCGGCUUACCAACCCGAUGCAAACUGCGAAUACCGGAGAAUGUUAUCACGGGAGACACACGGCGGGUGCUAACGUCCGUCGUGAAGAGGGAAACAACCCAGACCGCCAGCUAAGGUCCCAAAGUCAUGGUUAAGUGGGAAACGAUGUGGGAAGGCCCAGACAGCCAGGAUGUUGGCUUAGAAGCAGCCAUCAUUUAAAGAAAGCGUAAUAGCUCACUGGUCGAGUCGGCCUGCGCGGAAGAUGUAACGGGGCUAAACCAUGCACCGAAGCUGCGGCAGCGACGCUGAUGCGUUGUUGGGUAGGGGAGCGUUCUGUAAGCCUGCGAAGGUGGCCUGUGAGGGUUGCUGGAGGUAUCAGAAGUGCGAAUGCUGACAUAAGUAACGAUAAAGCGGGUGAAAAGCCCGCUCGCCGGAAGACCAAGGGUUCCUGUCCAACGUUAAUCGGGGCAGGGUGAGUCGACCCCUAAGGCGAGGCCGAAAGGCGUAGUCGAUGGGAAACGGGUUAAUAUUCCCGUACUUGGUGUUACUGCGAAGGGGGGACGGAGAAGGCUAUGUUGGCCGGGCGACGGUU